rnacentral:rRNA from 1 species
UGGGGAAUAUUGCACAAUGGGGGAAACCCUGAUGCAGCGACGCCGCGUGAAGGAUGAAGUAUUUCGGUAUGUAAACUUCUAUCAGCAGGGAAGAAAAUGACGGUACCUGACUAAGAAGCCCCGGCUAACUACGUGCCAGCAGCCGCGGUAAUACGUAGGGGGCAAGCGUUAUCCGGAUUUACUGGGUGUAAAGGGAGCGUAGACGGUUAUGUAAGUCUGAUGUGAAAACCCGGGGCUCAACCCCGGGACUGCAUUGGAAACUAUGUAACUAGAGUGUCGGAGAGGUAAGUGGAAUUCCUAGUGUAGCGGUGAAAUGCGUAGAUAUUAGGAGGAACACCAGUGGCGAAGGCGGCUUACUGGACGAUGACUGACGUUGAGGCUCGAAAGCGUGGGGAGCAAACAGGAUUAGAUACCC